rnacentral:rRNA from 1 species
AUGAGCACCGGCAAGGCGCCCGCGCUCUACCACGUCCGCGCUCGGUCGCUUACGAGCAAGGUGCUCGACCUCGACUCCUCGCCGGCGUGCCCGUCCCCGCCACCGUUCCGGUCACACGUCACGGUGCCGUUUCUCUGGGAGGACGCGCCGGGGAAACCCAAGCUGCGCGCAGCCCGGCCGAGCGCCCUGUCGCUCCCUUCCGCGAGCCCAGCCCCAGUUCUUGCUGACGGCGGCCCGACUGCCAGAGUGGCCGGCGGUCACGAGGACGGUCACGGCGCCCAUGCGCGCCCCGUGCUGCUGAAGCUGAAGCUGCCGCCGCGGCUGCAAGCGGCGGAGCACCCGCUCUCCUCCCCCAGGACCGUGCUCCAGGGCCCCUACUUCGGCGGCGGCGGCGGCGGAAACAAGCCGCCGAGGCCGCUUAGGAGGAUCGCGAGGACGGCGAGCUGUCAGAUGAAUCUGCGCGCCGGCGGGGCCCUCUUUGCUUGGAGGAAGGGCGCGGCAACGGCAACGGCAUCAGCUGGCAGCAAGGAGGGCGGCCACUGUCAGCUCUACGCCGUGGCGCCGGACGCGUCGUGCUGCUCGCCCGCGGCGUCGUCAGCGUCCUCGUCGUCGUCUUCGUCCAUGUCCUACUUCUUUGAUGACAACAGCCGCAGGCAAGCCGAUGGGCGCGAGGACUCGGAGGAUGGCGAGGUUGGUGACGACGGCGCCAAGGGGUCGGUGAGGAUCACCAGGUUUAGGAGGAACCGAAGCCUUCCCACUAUGUCCAGAUCGCAUCUCUGGGCCAACAUCCGCAAGGGCGUCAAGCAGAUUAGUCCAUGGAGCUACAAGCCGACAUAG